rnacentral:lncRNA from 10 species
GUUCUGGUGGAGGCUGCGAGUGCCUGGGCCUGUGACUCCCGGCUCUCCGCGCGCAGCGUCAGUCUGGGAGGGAAGCUCACAUGGCGGUCCCUAGGGUGCGACUGGAGGGAGGCGGGACGAUGCUACUCCUUGCUCCCCAACCUGACACCUUGGUGCGGUAAAACUGUAAGAAGGUAACAAAAUCAUAUCUGAAGCCCAGGUCUUCUUUUCUUUUACUACAGAUGCCCUGGACAUCAUUCCGAACAGCACAAUUCAAGGCUCUUGGGUAACCCCCUCCCACACCAACUCUGAGUUUGUUUAUGGCUUGUUUUGGACAAUAAGACAUUAGCAAAUGAGAUAUAAGUACAGGCUUGAGAAGUACAUGGGCACUGGGGCUUGCUUGCUGGCUGCUCUGUGGAACCUGAGACUACCACGUGAAGAAGAAGUUCGAAGUGCUAGAGGUUGAGAGAACAUGUGCAGCAAAGAUGAAGCAUCCCAGCUGAGAUUCCCCUAGAUCAAUCAGCUUGCCAACUGCCGCAAAAGCGAAUAAAGCCUUCCAAGAGCAUCCAGCUAUAAGGUGAGCCAGUCCAGACCGGAAGAAUCACCUGAUCAACUGAAAGAUAUAUGUGAAAUAAUAAAUGUUAGAGGUUUUAAAUUUUAAGAGGUACAGAGGCAUAUGGUUGAUGGUUCUGUUGUAUAAUCAUUAUUUAGUCUGGAAAGAAUCACUUGGAGUCGUCUGCUUUUAACUUUUGUCAUAAACACAACAUAUGAGAUAACAUAUUUCAAAACAUUAAAAAAUUUUUGUUUUGUUUUGUUUGGGUUUUGAAAUGGAGUCUCGCUCUGUCACCCAGGCUGGAGUGCAAUGGCGGGAUCUCAGCUCACUGCAACCUCCACCUGCCAGGUUCAAGCGAUUCUCCUUCCUCAGCCUUCUGAGUAGCUGGGAUUAUAGGUGUCCACCACCAUGCCUGGCUAAUUUUUGUAUUUUUUGUAGAGCCGGGGUUUCACCAUGUUGGCCAGGCUGGUUUUGAACUCCUGACCUCAGGUGAUCCUCCUGCCUCGGCCUCCCAAAGUGUU